UGGACAUUUCAUAUGCAAAAGAUGCUUUCUGUAAAAGUCAGUUAUGAGUUUUUUAGAAAAGGCUGUGAGAUAGAAAGGAUGUGAGCUUUGAUGCCCGAAGAUUAUUUAAUUCUUGCUGUAUCUCUAAAUCCUUCAUAUUCUUUUGGUCAGGAAGAGUGAAGUCUUAAAUGUAGACUGCUUUUUGCCUUUGGAAGCAAUUUUCUCUUGUGCAUUUAAGCUGCAUCUUUGAUUGCAAAUGCAUUGAAAACUUGCUUUACAUUUGAAGAAGAGGUCUUUGUUCUCAGCAGAAAGUGAUAGAAUUCAAAAUACCCUCAUUUUUAGUUAGGUACGAAUAUUGUAUUGCUCUUAGAUGGUAAGGAAAAAGCAGCAUUGGAUUUACUGCAUAAUUAAUAUUUGCAUCUGAAUGUAUUUUAGUAUUUACCAUCUGAAAAAAAAUGUAGAAAGGAGAAUGAAGGCUAUGUAGUUCUCAGCCUUCCUACUUGUAUUCAGUAGGAAGACUCGUGGGAUUAAGUAGUUUCAUAAAGCUUCUCUGAGUAGUCCUCUUUCUUUCUAAACAUCUGAUUUAAUUUGUGUGCUGUGAAUCCUAGAACAGUUUUAGUCUCUAGUUUAGUUAGAUUUCUCCCAAGGUACUUGUGACAUGGCUUCCCCCUGUGGAAUGAUCUUCUGGAAGCUGACAUUUUAGAGAUGUGGGUGACAUGGGAAAAUCAGAUUUAAAGUCAAGUGUUAGUCACUCUAGGUUGCAAGUACAGUCAAUGGGGAGAAAUAAGCACGUCCUGGAAGUUGAUAUCUGUCUUGUUUUAGUAAGGUGAGUAAAGAGCUGUGCCUAUAUUGAAGUGCUUUAUUUAAUGAGAUGAGUAGGCGCAAACUACCUGUGGCUACAAGCAUUGAGGUGGCCCAGUUCCUCUCUGCAGUCUGUUGCAAGUGCUCCCAGUUCCUGAGUCUGUGCUCCUCUGUCAUCAACAUUUGGAAGGGUGUCCUGUUUAGGCUCAGGCAUGGUGAUUGCUUCCUUCCUUCCAUUGGACGUUUAACGCUAAGUGGACCCCAGGAUCUGAAUACCAGAGUCAAAAACAUACAGAGUAGUCCUCAGUACUUAUAUCUGUUCUUCAAAAGGUGGCUAUUGUAAUCUCUCUGCAAAACAAAAAUGUAACUGCUUUGCAAGGUUACUUUAAUGACAGAAAUUCAUCUGAAGUACAUCCCUUGCUAGCUAAGCCUGUUUGUCAUGGUGACUGAGAAGUUUCUUAAUUUAUAACUGGGCAAAGUCCAUCUAAGCCUCUGCGUGUUCCAGAAUUACACAUUUCAUAGAGCAGUCAGGAUGACAUCCUUAGGGAUGAAGUAAAUUCUGGUUUAUGCACCAUAGUAAAAAAAAAAAAAAAAGGCCUUUGGCUCUAAUUUCUUUCCCUUGCUUUUUGAAAAUAGAGAAAUAGAGGAGAAAACACACAGGAAAGAUAUUUAUAGGCUGUGGAGUUUCCAUCACUUGGUCAGUACAGACUGAACCUUCCUAACCUCAUCGAAUCUAGGAUAGAGCCUUCUGUUUCUUUCCUAACACUGUUUCGUGUUGUCCAAGCAGUGCUUUGACAUCCAGUGAUGCCCGAAUCUGAGUGUAUGGGGAGAACUUCUGGGAGAUAGAAAGGACGGGAGCUGCAAGAGACUACUUCAGAAGUGCUAUCAAAACCUGUGCUGUACUAUUUGUAUGUGUGUGAAAUGCAUUUUUUUAAUAACUUCAGAUUACAGUUCUUCCUUUGGCACUUCCUUUUGUAGUCUGGAUUUAACAUUUCUACUUUAAAUACCAAUCUUUAAUACUACAGGCUUUUAACAUAUUCCUGUGUCACCAAACUGAGCUGUCAUAAGAAAUGCUGGGAAAUAACAAAACUCUCUUCCUGUCCAUAUUCUUUGCAAACUAAUGGCUUACAUAUUUUUAAACUUUUGUAAACUUUUUAGAAGAUGGAUGCCUACACUCUUUUAUCUUGUUUGUUUACAUUUUUCUCUUAACUUUACAAUGGCAUUGCAAAGGAGAGAUUGUUUUUAAAGGGCAUUUUUACUUUAAUUCAAGUUUCUAGUUGUUGUUCAGGUAAAUUUUAUACUCUAAAUCUUUGUCAAAAACAUAGAGAAAAGAAGGCAGCAAUACCUUCUCUCCCAUCAUUUAAUCCUGUGGAAUGACUCCAGUAUAAAUUACAGAGCACUGCACAGCCAGAAUGAUCUCACUUGGCGAAGUUCUCCACCAGUAACUUGAUGUUGGAGUAACUUCUUGACUGUAGAGUAAGGCAUGCAGCAUGUCUCCCAUUUGCUGGAUCCUCUUUUUGUACUGCAGAAACCUGAAGGAGAUCAGGGUUAUUCUUGUGCAAGUUAAUCCAGGGGAAGCAUUUACAAUAAGAAGAGAAGAUGGACAAUUUCAGUGCAUUACAGGAUAAAUGAAUGAAGAUGACUCAUCUUAAGCACAUUUCAUAACAGUCCCAAGUUGCAGCUAAGGGCUAUUAAAUGUUACUUGACAUAAUAAGAGAGACAAUGUUAUAUAUGCCUCUGCAAAGGAAGAUGGCCAUUUUUAUAAUAAAAUAAGAAAAUAUAUGUAAAUUAGAAUGAGUCAUGAAUACUUCAUGUUUUAAAAUGAAACCGAGUAUUGGCGUUAAGGUUAGUCGCUAGGAUCACAGAAUCACAGAAUUGUAGGGGUUGGAAGGGACCUCUAGAGGUCAUCGAGACCAACCCCCCUGCCAAAG